GUAAUUCACACGCGAUUUUAUCGCUCCGUUUGUUGUGUCAGGCGUCGCCAUAGGCCACCUUUAAAGGAUAGGCCACUGGUAGCUUUAAAAGAUAAGCAUUGUGUGUAUAGCUUUUUUCCAAGAAAUAUGGGAGCGCUUCUUUUCAAGGCUGAGUGUGAAGAGGCGAUUAUAAUUCUGAACUUCAACUUACGUAUUUACUCGUCAUUAGAAAUUACUGUGUUUACAAAGCAUCAACCGCGCGUAGGUUUUCAUUCACAUUGUGGAAUGUAUAGACAUUGUUUUUAUGAUGUGUGGCUGAAAUUAUUGAAGCAAAUUGAUACAUUCUGGAUGUCAAAUAAGCGAAAAUACAAAUAUGAGGAAAGGUGUUGCAACACUUGGUGAGUAUUGGGAGAUAUUUUUAGCUGAAAAAUACAAACUUCUUUUUCAAAAUAGCUUAGAUUGCUGUGUCCAGCAUAACCCUGCAUUUUUCGUUUAUGCCUAUUUGCCCUGUUGAAAAGGACUAAAUCAGUUUUAUGUAAUGGAUAGUUUAUAUUUUCAGGCUCAUUGCCGUCUCACUUUGUCCUGUGCAAUUUGUUUGUGUAUGGGUUUGAGUCACAUUUGUGAAAAGCAGCCAAUUGAAGUUCACUCUGGGAAUACAGUGACUGAAAUAGUUCUAGCUAUGAGGUUGGUUUGGGUUGGGAUUUUGUUGUUGUAGUUCUGUUAGGAGGUUUUGGUGAAUUAGACCUACAUGAAACAUCCUUAAGAUGUCAUUAGUCAUGACAAAAAGCUCUGUGGAUUAAAAAUAUAAUUUCUGUGUUUGUGAUGGGUUGGAGUUUUGGUGGUCUUUUUAGUUUUAAUAUUGGGUGCAAGUGAAAAUCCAUCUUAACAAUACAAAGUUCUUAAAGUACUGAAAAUUAAUGCAAAACUAUUCGUGUACUUAAAAGUUGCAAAAGUAGUUAUUUUGAAUUGUGCAAUCCAGUGGUAAUAUAUUGUCUAUGACCUCAUGCAUACCUUUUGAAGUGGACGGAAUAUUAAAUUGCUAUUCUUACUUAAAUGUCAUAAUAGAAGGUAUUUAAAUUGUACAUCUUAGCAAUUAUAUACUUUGUCAAAGGUUGUAAGGUGGGCAUUGGUGCUAAUAUUGUACGUGAUACUUUAUAGUAGCUUUUGGGAGUGAUAUGGAAUUGUCAGCCAAAAAUGCUUACUUACGGUAAUUUUGGGGAAAUUGUAAUAAUUUCUUCCAGAAAAUACUCUUUUGUUAGAUUUCACAUAGGGUGUAAACUGUUAAAAAUACACUGUAAUUAAAUAGUCAAGAAUUAUCUCUCUGUUACACACAGAAAUUUUCCUGAGUAAUCCAUUCCUGUGUCAUCUGGGGCAGUCUCAAAAGUAUUGGAAACAAUUUGCUUGAGGACUUCUUCUCUCAUGGGUACAGAAUAAUAUGUCCUUCUAACUAUCUAAAGGGACAUAAAAAAAUCCUAGUGCAUUAAACUUACCUUAAUAAAUGCCUAGAAGGUUAAAAUCUUGCA
rnacentral:lncRNA from 1 species